GCGAUCGCUUUGACGACAACACAUAAACUAAAAUUGGAAUGCCAAAGUAAACAUUAGCAAGACCCCCCAGGGCAAGGAAGACAUUGCAAAUAUACGACGCAUUCCAUAUUUUU
rnacentral:snRNA from 1 species